rnacentral:rRNA from 1 species
AAGUUACAUAAAAAAAGCAUAGAGGGGAUGCCUAGGCAUUAAUUAAUAUUUUUAGGACGUAAUAAAAACGAAAAGCUAUAUGUAAUAUUUAUAUAUUUUAAUAUAUAGAUUUCCUAAAGAAAACUUUUUCUUUGUGAAAAUUUUAAACAUAGUGAAUUGAAAUAUCUUAGUAACUAUUGAAAAAAUCAAACGAGAUUCCGUGAGUAAUGACGAGUGAAAAUGGAAAAUAGAUUAUAAGAAAGUAUAUAAAAAUAUUUAUAAAUAUCUGAAAAAUGUUAAAACAUUUACGUAAAAAGGUUAUAGUCCUGUAAGUAUUUAUUUAUAUAUUUUAUUUUUAUAAGUAAAAAGAGGUAUGUGUAAUCUUUUUUGAAUAUUGGGGGACCACCCUCAAAAUCUAUAAAAUAAUUAAUGACCGAUAGUGAACAAGUACUGUAAAGGAAAGGUGAAAUAGAGCUUUCGAGUUUGAAAUAAUUCUGAAACUCUAUGCUAAUAAUCAAUUGAAGCUUUUUUAUAAAGUGACAGUGUACCUUUUGCAUAAUGGGCCAGCAAGUUUAUUUUUUUAGCAAGCUUAAUUUAUAAAAAAAAUAGGCGUAGAGAAAUCAAGUUUUAAAAAGCUUAUAAUAAGUUAUAAAAAUAAGACCCGAAACUGAGUGAUCUAAUUAUGAACAGAUUGAAGAAUAGGUAAAACUAUUUGGAGGAUCGAACCCACGUAUGUGGCAAUAUACGGGGAUGAUUUGUGAUUAGGGGUGAAAGGCCAAUCAAACUCAGAGAUAGCUGGUUUUCCGCGAAAUCUAUUGAAGUAGAGCAUUUAAAGAUCUUUUUUUGGGGUAGAGCACUCAUUAAGCUAGGGGGGUUAAAAUCUUACUGAACUUUUAGAAACUCCGAAUACAAAAAUAAGUAUUUAAAUAGACAGACAUUGGGCGCUAAGGUCCAUUGUCGAGAGGGAAACAGCCCAGAUUGAACGCUAAGGUCCUUAAAUAAUUUUCUAAGUGAGAAAGGAAGUGAAAAAAUAAUGACAACCAACAGGUAGGCUUGGAAGCAGCCAUCCUUUAAAGAAAGCGUAAUAGCUCAUUGGUCUAGUUUUUUUGCGCCUAAAAUGUAUCGGGACUAAAGAAAUUUACCGAAGCGUCAAGUUAUAUUUAUUUAAUAUAACGGUAGCGGAACAUUCUGUAUGUUGUUAAAGAUAUGUUGUUAAAUAUAUUGAAGAUAUCAGAAUAGAAAAUGCUGGCAUUAGUAACAAAAAAUAAUGAUAAGAAUCAUUAUCACCGAAAAUCCAAGGGUUUCUAUGUUAAGAUUAACUACAUAGAGUUAGACGGCCCCUAAGUAGAAUUAGGCGAAAGCUUACUAUGAUGGGAAAAUUGUGAAAUUCAAUUUCUAAUAAAAAGUGACAAAAUAGCAAUAUUUUCAAGAAACAACUUUUUAAAUUCUAAUUUAAUAGAAGUCAAGUUAUGAUCUGAGAGAUAACUUAAAAAUGGAAAGUUAUUUAGAAACAAGAUAAAAGGCAAAACACCAAACUUCAUACAAACUUAAAUGUUUGACAUUUAAAAAUUAAAGAGAUUUUUUUUUAAGUGUAUUUGAGACAAAUAAGCCAACCUUGGUACAUAACCGCUGAAAACUAAAAAACCGUACCCUAAACCAACACAGGUGGAUAGGUCGAGUAGACUAAGGUGUAUGAGAUAAUUAUGUUGAAGGAACUCGGCAAAAUGACUCUGUAACUUCGGGAGAAAGAGUACCUUUUUAUUUAAAUGUUUAUCGACGAAAUAAUAAGAAGGUGGCACAGAAUUGGGGGUUGCGACUGUUUAAUAAAAACACAGGACUCUGCUAAAUCGUAAGAUGACGUAUAGGGUCUGACACCUGCCCGGUGCUGGAAGAUUAAUAGGAGAUGUUUGCGCAUUGAAUAAAAGUCCCAGUAAACGGCGGCCGUAACUCUGACGGUCCUAAGGUAGCGAAAUUCCUUGUCGGGUAAGUUCCGACCUGCAUGAAUGGUGUAACGACAUCCCCGCUGUCUCCAACAUAAACUCAGUGAAUUUGAAUUAUCCGUGAAGAUGCGGAUUUUCUAUAGUUAGACGGAAAGACCCCGUGAACCUUUACUACAUCUUUAUAUUGUUAUUUUAUAAAAUAUGUGUAGAAUAAGUGGUAAUCUUAGACCUUCAUGCUAGUGAAUUGUUUAGAUUUCUUUGAAAUACCACUCUUAUUAUUAUAAAUAACUAAUGUCUUAACGACAGACAAUGUAUGGUUGGUAGUUUGACUGGGGCGGUCACCUCCCAAAGAGUAACGGAGGUGUACAAAGGUAAGCUCAAAUUGGGAAAAUAUCAAUUGUAGAAUGUAAUGGUAUAAGCUUGCUUGACUGUAAGAUAGACAUAUCAAACAGGGACGAAAGUCGGUCAUAGUGAUCCGAUAAUUCUUUGUGGAAAGAUUAUCGCUCAACGGAUAAAAGGUACUCCGGGGAUAACAGGCUGAUGACUCCUAAGAGCUCCUAUCGACGGAGUCGUUUGGCACCUCGAUGUCGACUCAUCACAUCCUGGAGCUGAAGAAGGUUCCAAGGGUUCGGCUGUUCGCCGAUUAAAGUGGUACGUGAGUUGGGUUUAGAACGUCGUGAGACAGUUUGGAUCCUAUCUUCUAUAGAUAAAUUGAAAAAUGAAAGACUCUAAUUCUAGUACGAGAGGACCGAAGAGGGUAAAUCACUGGUGUAUCGGUUGUUCUAAUGGAGCAACGCCGAGUAGCUAAAUUUAUAAUGGAUAAUUGCUGAAAGCAUCUAAGCAAGAAACCAAUCUUAAAAUUUUUUCAUAAAAUUGUUUUAGACUAAAACAUGAUAGGUAAAAAGUGUAAGUAUUGUAAAAUAUUAAGCUUAUUUAUACUAAUUAUUUUAUAAUUAUAUAAAAUUUUUAU